UACGAAGGGGGCUAGCGUUGUUCGGAUUUAUUGGGCGUAAAGAGCUCGUAGGCGGCUCAGUAAGUCAGAUGUGAAAACUCAGGGCUCAACCCGGAGACGCCAUCUGAUACUGCUGUGGCUUGAGUCUGGUAGGGGAUCACGGAAUUCCUGGUGUAGCGGUGAAAUGCGCAGAUAUCAGGAGGAACACCGAUGGCGAAGGCAGUGAUCUGGGCCAGUACUGACGCUGAGGAGCGAAAGCGUGGGUAGCAAACAGG
rnacentral:rRNA from 1 species